ACCUGGGUGGCUUUGUUGGUUGAGCAUCUGACUUCAGCUCAGUUCAUGAUCUCACAGUUUGUGGGUUUGAGCCCCACGUCAGGCU
rnacentral:tRNA from 1 species